ACCAACCCGCGUCAUUCUCCGGUGCCGUCGCCGCUCUGUCACGGUUGCUUCGCCGACGCUCCUCAACACACACUCUCUCUCAACCAUAAACCCUACUCCGACGCCUUACUCAAACCAAGGGUUUUCAGCGAGGAUGAUAGGUAGGAGCACGUAAUUUGAAAACAGUUACCAUCGCUGGUUCCGAAGUUCCCUUCGCCAUUGUCGCUGGUUCUACUUACCAUCGCUGCUAGCUCGUGCUUAUCCAAUGGCCUGGUGAGGGUGAGUUACCUGCUCCGCUGCUUGUGUUUGGAUUCUUCUCUACUCCCCUAGUCCCCUACUUAGCUAAUUAAUUUGUUGAUUUGGGGUUUCAUAUUUUAGAUAAUUAGUUUGUUGAUUGGUUUUUAAUGGAUGAUUUAGUAAUUAGGUUUUAAAUUUAGAUUUUUAAUUUAGUUUGUUUAUUGAUUGACAAAACAUAUGGAGGGAGGGAAUUCGUAAUGCUGAACUGAACACCCAAUAAUUGUUGCAGUUAUCUCAGUUGUUGAUAUUUUGCUAAAAAUGUGCUAGAGAGCAUGAACUACAAAUUCUGUGUGUAGAUCUACAUUUAGGAUCUAUAUUUGUCUAAUUAUAAUACAGUUUUUUUAAUU